AUUGAACGCUGGCGGCAUGCCUUACACAUGCAAGUCGAACGGUAACGCGGGGCAACCUGGCGACGAGUGGCGAACGGGUGAGUAAAGCAUCGGAACGUGCCCAAUAGUGGGGGAUAGCCCGGCGAAAGCCGGAUUAAUACCGCAUGAGACCUGAGGGUGAAAGCGGGGGAUCGCAAGACCUCGCGCUAAUGGAGCGGCCGAUGUCAGAUUAGCUAGUUGGUGGGGUAAAGGCCUACCAAGGCGACGAUCUGUAGCUGGUCUGAGAGGACGACCAGCCACACUGGGACUGAGACACGGCCCAGACUCCUACGGGAGGCAGCAGUGGGGAAUUUUGGACAAUGGACGAAAGUCUGAUCCAGCCAUGCCGCGUGCGGGAAGAAGGCCUU
rnacentral:rRNA from 1 species